rnacentral:rRNA from 1 species
GAUGAACGCUGGCGGCGUGCCUAAUACAUGCAAGUCGAGCGAACGGACGAGAAGCUUGCUUCUCUGAUGUUAGCGGCGGACGGGGGAGUAACACGUGGAUAACCUACCUAUAAGACUGGGAUAACUUCGGGAAACCGGAGCUAAUACCGGAUGAUAUUUUGAACCGCAGGGUUCAAAAGUGUAAGACGGUCUUGCUGUCACUUAUAGAUGGAUCCGCGCUGCAGUAGCUAGGUGGUAAGGGAACGGCUUACCAAUGCAACGAUGCAGAGCUGACCUGCGAGGGUGAUCGGCCACACUGGCACUGCGCCACGGUCCAGACUCCUACGGGAGGCAGCAGUAGGGCAUCUUCCGCAAUGGGCGCAAGCCUGACGGAGCAACGCCGCGUGAGUGAUGAAGGUCUUCGGAUCGUAAAACUCUGUUAUUAGGGAAGAACAUAUGUGUAAGUAACUGUGCACAUCUUGACGGUACCUAAUCAGAAAGCCACGGCUAACUACGUG